rnacentral:lncRNA from 1 species
ACACGUUCCGAGCUUGUUCAACAAGGUUGAGCAAUGGGAGAAGGACUGUGGCUGAAAGACACAGGCGGGGGAAUUAACUGAGCACUCAAAUGUAAAAUUGUACUUAUAUCCGCAGGGACGGUUGCUUUAUUUCGAGACGACUAAGGAGCUAUCGGUCAACUGCAAAUGCGGACCACUUUGAAAGUCUUUUGAGACUGAAGUCUGAUGUAUUUGCCCAUUGAAUGAUACAUUUCCAGUGUAAAGGCCCCUGUUCCCAAACAUCAAAAGCAAUAUGACAGCUUCUGAGCUAUACCUGCUCAAAUGGUUUAUCUAUUAAUAUACUCAGCCAGCCGCCGCCAUAAUUGAAGCUUCACAGAGAGGAGUGCCUAGACUAAUAAUAAGACUCGAGAUACAAUCAGACUUGUUCCGACUUCAAUUCCCCACUUCUAAUUUCGUGUUCCCUUUGGAAGUUCCCUCGCUUCUCCCAUACUCAGACGGCCUUUGUGUGUGUGCACUAAAAAAAGAAGACAAAAAAAAGGCAUUGAAUGGUGCCUUCCUGAAGGGGGCAUGUCCAAAUGUGAGUGACAGGCAGAGGCUCCGCCCACUGGGUCAGUCAUGGAGCAUCUGUAGCAGUCAGGAGGUCAGAGGUCACUGCAAGCUGGCCUCAAGCACACUGUUCCCACAACCCCUCCUCCCUCAGUUGGUCUUCAGAUGGACUCUGCUGGGUCACUGGGUCGGACCCUCGCACUGUAAAUGAGAAAAAUACAAACCAAGUGAACUGUCGGAUCAAUAGUUGGAGAAGGCGCUCACACACUCUCUCUAUCUCUCUCCUCUGUUUUCUCAAUAAAGCUGAAACUGAAACCCUUAGUGGCCAAUUUGUCACUGUCUGUGUCUCCACAUAAUCAUUAAACUCGAGUGAAAAUGUUGUCAGUUGUUAAAAGGAUCUUUUUAACACAGCUGUUCCUUCUCAUUUGGCAUGGUUUCUAGCAUCUUAUGCUAAGAUGAUCCAUAGGAAAACAUCAAAUCUUUUUCGGAUCCUGCACCGCACGGCCCUGCUCACAGCUUCUUAUAGGGG